AUGACAGAAGGCAUGGCACACGUUCAUGCACAAAUAAUCCAUCACCCAGCCGGCCACUACAGACCUGACCCGAGUGUGGGUCCAGUCCUCCAAGUCCUCAUAGGAAGGCUGCAGGGGGGUGGAGGGCCUCGAGGGCCCAUCGAACUCCUCAAUCCGAAUGAGCUGAAACCACAUCUCCUCUUCAUCAUCGUCUCUGGACGAAGGCCCAGCUGCCUCAGAGUCAUCAUCAUCCUCAUCCUCAUCAUCCAGCAAAUCCACUAUCUCCACCUUGCUCUCGUUCACCACCUCCACUAUCUGCACAUCAUCAUCAUCAUCCUUCACCUCCACCACCUCCACUACCUGCACUUCAUCAUCCCUAGUCUCCACCACCUGUACAUCAUCAUCUUCGUCCACCACUUCUACUACAUUGCCUGUCUUGGCCUGCCCCGCCGCCGCUGCCGCCCCCGCAGGGGCUGUCGAUGGCCCUGCCACCUCCGCCGCAGGGGCUGCCGCUGCUGCCGCCGCCGCCACCGCGGCCGCGGCGCCGGGCACCUCUCCUCUCUCCCCCGAGUCUCCCGUCUGCCCCGUCUCGGACCUCUCCCCAGGGUGCGCGGGCUCCCCUGGGGGCGCGGGCUCCCCCGGGGCCGUGGGUUCCCUGGGCUCCCUUGGUUCCCUGGGUUCCCUGGGCUCCCCAGGCUCUGAGUCCUCGUCCCUUUCUCUCUUCACCACCACCUCCGGGACUCGGGCGGCUGUUUUCGCCGUUGCCUUUCCGGAGGCCCUCCUCCGGACCCCCACAUCCUGGGUCUGAUAGGGGGCAGGCCCAGAGGAUCUUUCUCUGACCACCUCCAGGACCCAGGAUGGGCCGCUCCUCUGCCAGCAGAUCACCCCAUGGCUUGGGGACGAGCCUGGCUUCCGCCGAAGCACCACUCGGACUGGGUUCGGGCCCGAGAUCGACUCCGACCCAGAGGACCGGUACCGGUGCCUGUGCCGAACCGACUCUCGGGCCGGGCCCGGGGCCGGGCCCGGGGCCGGGGCCGGGCCUGGGGCCGGGGCCGGGGCCGGGCCUGGGGCUGGGGCUGGGCCCGGGGCAGGAAUCGGGGCCGGGGCUGGGCCCGGGGCUGGGCCCGGGGCGGCCUUGUUCUGGGCCACCUCCCGAGGAGGAGGCGAGAGAGGUUCGGUCUUCACCCUGACUGGAAUGGGUCUUUGAGGGAUCACCUCUCGGCCCGAGACGUGGGCGGAGCCCGGGACAGCUGUGGCUCGGGCAUGACCCGAGGUCCGGGCAGGAGCCGGAGCCGGGACUCGGAACAGGGCCGGAGCGGGGGCCGGGGCUCGGAACAGGCCGGGAGCGGUCCGGCUCCGGCCUGAAGACGAGGCCGAGGUACGGCCCGAAGCAGAGGCAGGAGCCCGGCCCGGAGCAGGGACCCUGAACAAGGACGGACCCGAGGUCGGGGCUCGGAACAGGGACGGAGCCGGGGCCGGAGCUCGGAACAGGGACGGAGCUGGAGCUCGGGCCGGAGCCGGAGCCGGAACUCGGAAUAGGGACGGAGCCGAGGUCGGGGCCCGGAACACGCCCGGAGCGAUGACAGGGCCUCUGGGCCGGACCGGAGUUGGGGCCGGACCAGGGACCCGGGCUGGGACCGGAGCAGGGGCGGUAGCGGAGGCCGGAGCCGGGGCCCGAGCCGGACCUGAAACGGGAACCGGA
ensembl:lncRNA